rnacentral:lncRNA from 1 species
CAAAUUUCAGGGCCAUCUGUAUUGUGGUGGUUUCUUUAUAGUCAAGGUUACCCACGUCAGGCCGGGGACAAACUCCACUUCUGGCCUUCCUGCCCAGCUAGCCUGAAGGAUGGGAAUCGGGCAGUCAGCGCCUUCUGGGAAACGGCCUCGUGAAGGAAGAGAGGUGGAGCCGCUAUGACCAUGUGCCUCUGGGACCUGCUGCUCCAGUGCCUGUAAUUGAUCCAGGGCCCCAGUGCCAGCUCUGACAUCCCGCGGGCUGCUGCUCCCAGGCAAUGAUGGAGCAGAGGAACGACGCACCAAUGGCCCCGAGAACCUUCCAGACUGCACGGUGGUCUAGGAUGCUCCCACGAAAACUUCCUCCCCCUUCUCUUCUUCAUUCAGGGUCUGAUGGCCCUCCUAACCAUCUCUGGAUCCCUCCCUAUUUUUUUCACAUCUUUCCCCUAAUAAAAUCCUUCUGCUUUAAAUCUCAUUUUAGCCUCUUCUUUUAGGAGAACCAGGACUCACACAAAAGGUUUUGAUAAAGAGAUUAAUGGUGUAACAAGUGUAACAGGGAUCGCAUUUUUGGACCAUCCUUUGGUGAGAAGCCAGCUUCUCUCCUCGCGCUCUGUCCACCUUCCGGUCUGAGGCG